rnacentral:rRNA from 1 species
UACGGAGGGUGCAAGCGUUAUCCGGAUUCACUGGGUUUAAAGGGUGCGUAGGUGGGCAGGUAAGUCAGUGGUGAAAUCUCCGGGCUUAACUCGGAAACUGCCAUUGAUACUAUCUGUCUUGAAUACCGUGGAGGUUAGCGGAAUAUGUCAUGUAGCGGUGAAAUGCUUAGAUAUGACAUAGAACACCAAUGGCGAAGGCAGCUGGCUGGGCGAAUAUUGACACUGAUGCACGAAAGCGUGGGGAGCGAACAGG